CACAGCUGGCAGAGUGUAUGAAGGGUCCGUUCCGUACUGGGAUGCAUGUGGUGGACCGGACUCUGGUGAGCCUGGACGCGACUGGCGGUGGUGGACACUAACCGGGGGCCACCUCAGACUUGUCUAUGAUGACGGGGAGCAGGAGGCCAUGGGGAGCCCCUCUCUGACUUCUGGUGCCAUAUGUGGAGUCCCCUACUGCACCCAGUGGUUUGGUCCAGCAAAGUGGGCCAUGUCAUCAAACCACCUGCUACGUGAUUAAAUCAAACGGUACACUUUCUUUUUUUCUUUAAUUUUUUUUUUUGAUAAAGUUGAACGUUGAUGAUAUUUAACUUUUUUUCCCCCAAACAUUGACCACCCAACAUUCCGUAAGGUGUACUGUGACAGCGUCCCCAUGCUGUUUAAGAAGCCCAGGACAGUGUACAUGGAGGCUUCUUUGAGGUGGGGAUAAAAAUAGAGGCCAUCAACCCUCUAAACCUGGGCAACAUCUGUGUGGCCACUAUACACAAGGUGACGGGUCUGACUGGUUCUGCUACCACUAUCUUCCAUGUGAUCCUACCCAAGGGAUACUGCCAAAAGCACAACAUACAGCUCACACCCACCCCCUGGUAAUAUCCUAUUCUCUCCUCCCUACUUUCUCGCUCUUCCUAUUUCUUGUUGCUCUGGUUUACUUUUCUGGGCAAACGCCACCUGCUCAGUGAAUCUAUGAUAAGAAUGAAGUCAGUGGUUCCCUACGCUAUGUCAUAUCCCUUACACAAGUGGGAUAUUCAUCUUUUCCACCAGGCUAUGACUGGAAAACCUUCAACUGGGCCAAAUACCUGGAGGAGAAGGGAACCAUAGCUGCACCAGUAUGGCUCUUCAACACGCUUUUAUCUACCAAGUAUCAUACAGGAUGGCUUGAGUAACGGCUUCGCUCAGAACAUUAAGUUGAAGGCAGUGGACCUGAUGGAGCCUCGGCUGGUGUGCGUGGCCACCGUGAGGCGCUGUGUGGGCCGGCUACUGCUGCACCUUGACCUUGAUGGCUGGGAGCCAGACUUUGACAAGUGGGUGGACUACCAGAUAUCAACCCUGUGGGCUGGUGUGAGGUCACAGGAUACCAGCUCCAGCCACCUAUUGGACCAGAUCCUGUCGCAAGAAACACAAGCCCGUGGGGAAAAAUAAGAAAGGGAUGGUUAAGAAGAAACUGGCAAACCUUAUCUCCAAGAACCCCGCCCCCAAGCCAGCCGAGCAAACUGUCUGAACCAGAGGCUGGAACACCAGAACAGUCAGACCCCACAACUCUAAUACAGUAGAUUAAGGCUGAGCCUGAGAAGCAGGAGAUGAGGGUGGAGAUGGCGACCCUAACCCACCAUCACAGCCUGAGAUCACUACACUACUGAUCACCUCAACCUGAAGAUCAGAUGGUUUUACCUAACCCAUACUUGGAUUUAUGGAUUUCAGCAUCUCUUAAAUGUUGAGCUGUUCUCCAGUGUCUCUGUGUGUGACAGUUUAACAGAAAGGCCAGUUGCUGUGACACAAGUUAAGGACAUUCGUUCAUCCACUGAUUGUAAGAAAACCCCCAGUAGAUAUUUUUAUGUUCUUUGUUUUAUAUCCAUAUUCCUUUCUUUGUUGUACAGUACCAGUCAAAAUUGUGGA